GCCGAAAAGACCCUGUAAGUUGGGCUCUGCACCAGGGGAAAAAAUCUGGUGGCAUCUAGGCACCUUACAGACCGACCACUCUGCUAUGCCCAGUGGAACUCCUACUUUCAGACAGGAUGCUGCCUGAUUCAUGAAUUGCUAAUAAAAGCCAAGUAGCUCUUUAAA